GACGAACGCUGGCGGCGUGCUUAACACAUGCAAGUCGAACGGAAAGGCCCUGCUUUUGUGGGGCGCUCGAUUGGCGAAGGGGUGAGUAACACGUGAGUAACCUGCCCCUGACUUUGUGAUAACUUCAGGAAACUGGGGCUAAUAUCGCAUAGGAGCUCUUGCUGCAUGGUGGGGAUUGGAAAGUUUCGGCGGUAUGGGCUGGACUCGCGGCUUAUCCGCUUGUUGGUGAGGUAGGGGCAUACAAAGCCUUCGACGGGUAGCCGGCAUGGGAGGGUGACCGGCGACAUUACGACUGAGAGACGGCGCAGAAGCCUACGGGAGGCAGUAGUCGGGAAUCUUACACAAUGGGCGGGAGCGUGAGACAGCGACGCCGCGUGCGGGAUACCGGCCUUCGGGGUGUGAACCGAUUUCGCAUGUAACAAAGCGUGCGUGACGGUAAUGAGUAAGGAAGCACCGGCUAACUACGUG
rnacentral:rRNA from 1 species